UCUGGGGUGGUUCAGCAGUAGAGCAUCUGCUUUGCAUGCAGAACGUCCCAGGUUCAAUCCCCAAUGGCAUGUCCAGAU